GUGCUCGCUUCAGCAGCACAUAUACUAAAAAAAUUGGAACCAUGUAAAGAAGAUUAGCAUGGCCCCUGCACAAGGAUGACAUGCAAAUUCGUGAAGUGUUCCAUAUUUUU